rnacentral:tRNA from 1 species
GCCCAGGUGGUGAAAUCGGUAAACACGCUAGGUUCAGGGUCUAGUGCCCUUACGGGCUUGGAGGUUCGAGUCCUCUCCUGGGCA